ACUAGCAUAAAUUAAUGAGCAUAAGUUCAGUUGUAUAGGUCACAUUAGGUGACUCUGACUUGUGUGCUAGCAUAGAUUGAUGACACCUGAUUUUACUUAUAUUACUGUUGAGAUUUUGGAUGUCCUACCUUAGUUAUGAGAUAUUGUGCCGUAAUGAAUUCUUGAGAUUUUGCAAGCUACGGUAAGUAGUUUACUUACAUAGCUCAAGUACUAAUUCUUGAAACUUAUACUUGUUUUACGCUGAUGGGUUAUAAUGUUUUCAGAAAGGUUUUUAUAAAACUUAAUUUUCAGGCCUACUCACCCUUGUUUUUUGCCCAUCCGGGUUUUAAUAGCUAAGCUUUCUUAUCGACUAGGAUUUGUGGCAAAUCUUGGUAUUGGAGAUUACCUUCGAUGAUAUGAUUCUCAUUCUACUCUACUGUACUUUACUUAUGUUCUGACAUCAUGUGUGAAAUGGGUUCAUUUUCGCUCAUAGCGCACUUUUAUAUUUAUGCACUUUUAGGUUUAAAUUUAUUCACAUUUUCCA
rnacentral:lncRNA from 1 species